GAUGAACGCUAGCGAUAGGCUUAACACAUGCAAGUCGAGGGGCAGCACAAGGUAGCUUGCUAUCCGGGUGGCGACCGGCGCACGGGUGCGUAACGCGUAUGCAACUUGCCCUAUACAGGAGGAUAACCCGUCGACAGACGGACUAAUACUGCGUAUGCUCACAACUUGGCAUCAAGUGGUGAGGAAAGAAAUUCGGUAUAGGAUAGGCAUGCGUCCCAUUAGCUUGUUGGUGAGGUAACGGCUCACCAAGGCAACGAUGGGUAGGGGAACUGAGAGGUUUAUCCCCCAGAAUGGUACUGCGGCACGGACCAGACUCCGACGGGAGGCAGCAGUGAGGAAUAUUGGGCGAUGGGCGCGAGCCUGAACCAGCCAAGUCGCGUGAAGGAUGACUGUCCUAUGGAUUGUAAACUUCUUUUAUACGGGAAUAACAAGAGUCACGUGUGACUCCUUGCAUGUACCGUAUGAAUAAGCAUCGGCUAACUCCGUG
rnacentral:rRNA from 1 species